UGCUCCGCGACAUGAACGCAAUGCGUGCCAGCGAAAUUCACGAUAUGAUGCAGUCAGACUUUGGAGACAUCUACAUGGAAUACAAAAAGGUCGUGAGCCAGCGAGAACGAGAAGCUCAGCUGGAAAAAGCCAAGGAAAUGGAGGCGAUUAAGAAUGAUUCGGUGAAGCUCGCCGAGCUCCGACGGAAAGCCGUUCAAAAUGCUGUCGAUUUUAAUAAAGACAUUCAAAAUCAGCGGCGGAACGAGCGGAAACACUUUUGGGAUAUUCAGACUAAUG
rnacentral:sRNA from 1 species